CUCUGUGUAACAACGUAUGCAUCCAGCUCAUUCUUCAAACGGUAACUGUACUUUUUUCUUUCCAAUUGGCAACAGAUUUUUUGUUACCUUCUCUUGUAAGUUUGGGAUUUGAAUUUCAAUUGGGGAACGGUCAUACUUCAUUGGGUUCUAUAAAUAGAAACCCUUCUCUUCAUUUUUAAGGGGGAUUUUAAGAGUAGAACAUAGCCACAAUGGGUUAGUACACCCAUAAUGGGGUUUUUGACAACCCUCAAGAGUUCAAAUACUUAGAAGCUCGGCAAAAGCCUUGAAUUUUGAGGAAGUCUAAGCUCGUACUUUAAUUUUUGGAAGUCAUUUUUGUUCGUUGAAAAUCGAUUCGUCUGAAAGGUAGUUUGUCGUCUCUCUUCGCCCCCGACGCUGCACCCUAAAAAGGAACCCUUGGUUGAAUAUAUACUCCUCCACUUGGGGGAGUUGAUUACUCAUUCUUCACCUCUUCCCUUGUUGCAUGACUUGGGGGAGUUGUUUCUCAAUCCUGAAUGAUCCUGAGCUAUUGCCAUGUCUAUGAAUUUGCUUCAUCUGCUGCUGAACCAAAGAAGCUGCUGACAUGCUUGACCAGCUAUGUUAUUACUACUGUUUCACUUUAACUGUUCAUUUGUUGGGCUUAAAGCUCUAAGUUUGCUGUUGCAAUCGUUAUACCUAAUGGCUGUUGUCACAUUGAUGUUAUCGCUGUAUUUUGCGCUAAGUAUCUCCACCUCAACUCUAUCCUGAAAUAUUAUGGUGGGUGAAUGCUGCUGCCCCUGGGGAGUCUCAAACCUUCUGCUGUAUUAAGUCUAAAAAGUGGCUGCUGUAUAGUUGUUAGUUGAACCACCGUCACAUUUGAAAUGGUUGUUCCUACUUUGUGAUAAGCUGUUCAAAUGCUACUUCUUUAUGUGAAUGAACACUUGAUGUGGUUGGCUGCUCCAUUCUGAUGAUAUUUUGGGAUAAAUUGAUUGCUAUUGCUGUUACCUGUUGCUAUAGUAUUUAAGUUGCUGCACUUGAAAGAAAGCUGGCUGCUA